rnacentral:sRNA from 1 species
AGAGGUUUGUAGACUUCGGUCUGCUACCUCUUACCCAUGUCUUUUGAGUACCUUCGUUUCCUCGGCGGGUCCGCCCGCCGAUUGGACAACAUUCAAACCCUUUGCAGUUGCAAUCAGCGUCUGAAAAAACAUAAUAGUUACAACUUUCAACAACGGAUCUCUUGGUUCUGGCAUCGAUGAAGAACGCAGCGAAAUGCGAUAAGUAGUGUGAAUUGCAGAAUUCAGUGAAUCAUCGAAUCUUUGAACGCACAUUGCGCCCCUUGGUAUUCCAUGGGGCAUGCCUGUUCGAGCGUCAUUUGUACCUUCAAGCUCUGCUUGGUGUUGGGUGUUUGUCUCGCCUCUGCGUGUAGACUCGCCUUAAAACAAUUGGCAGCCGGCGUAUUGAUUUCGGAGCGCAGUACAUCUCGCGCUUUGCACUCAUAACGACGACGUCCAAAAGUACAUUUUUACACUCUUGACCUCGGAUCAGGUAGGGAUACCCGCUGAACUUAA